rnacentral:rRNA from 1 species
AUACGUAGGUGGCGAGCGUUGUCCGGAUUUACUGGGGCGUAAAGGAUGCGUAGGCGGAUGUUUAAGUGAGAUGUGAAAUACCCGAGCUCAACUUGGGUGCUGCAUUUCAAACUGGAUAUCUAGAGUGCAGGAGAGGAAAGCGGAAUUCCUAGUGUAACGGUGAAAUGCGUAGAGAUUAGGAAGAACACCAGUGGCGAAGGCGGCUUUCUGGACUGUAACUGACGCUGAGGCAUGAAAGCGUGGGGAGC